rnacentral:rRNA from 1 species
UACGUAGGGGUGCAAGCGUUCGUCCGGAAUUAUUGGGCGUAAAGAGCUCGUAGGCGGUCUGUCGCGUCUGCGUCGUGAAAACUCAGGGCUUAACCCUGAGCUUGCAGUGGGGUACGGGCAGACUAGAGUGCGGUAGGGGAGAACUGGAAUUCCGUGGUGAUAGCGGUGAAAUGAGCGCAGAUAGUCAGGAGGAACACCGGCGGCGAAGGCGGGAUCUCUGGGCC